rnacentral:rRNA from 1 species
CAAUAGCGUAUAUUUAAGUUGUUGCAGUUAAAAAGCUCGUAGUUGGAUUUCGGGUGUGAACGACCGGUCCGUCUUUGAUGUGUACUGGUUGGUUGCGCCUUAUUGUCGAGGACGUGGUUCUAGCUUUCAUUAGCCGGGACACGGAGUCGGCAGCGUUACUUUGAGAAAAUUAGAGUGUUCAAAGCAGGCUAUCGCUCUGAAUACUACAGCAUGGAAUAACACGAUAGGACUCCGAGCCUAUUCUGUUGGUCUUCGGGACCGGAGUAAUGAUUAAGAGGGACAGUUGGGGGCAUUCGUAUUCCGAUGUCAGGGGUGAAAUUCUUGGAUUAUCGGAAGACGAGCAUCUGCGAAAGCAUUUGCCAAGGAUGUUUUCAUUAA